rnacentral:tRNA from 1 species
GCUUAAUUGAUAAAGCGCUCGUCUAUAAUACAAGAGUCCUGGGUUCGAAUCCCAG